rnacentral:rRNA from 1 species
CCUACGGGUGGCUGCAGUGGGGGAUAUUGCACAAUGGGGGAAACCCUGAUGCAGCGACGCCGCGUGUGGGAAGACGGUCCUCUGGAUUGUAAACCACUGUUCCCAGGGACGAAGAUGCCGGUACCUGGGGAGGAAGCUCCGGCUAACUACGUGCCAGCAGCCGCGGUAAUACGUAGGGAGCAAGCGUUGUCCGGAAUUACUGGGUGUAAAGGGGGCGUAGGCGGGAUGGCAAGUUGGGUGUUAAAUCUUCGGGCUCAACUGGUAGUCGCACUCAAAACUGCUAUUCUUGAGUGAAGUAGAGGCAGGCGGAAUUCGUGGUGUAGCGGUGAAAUGCGUAGAUAUUAGGAGGAACACCGGUGGCGAAGGCAGCCUGCUGGGCUUUUACUGACGCUGAGGCUCGAAAGUGUGGGGAGCAAACAGGAUUAGAUACCCUUGUAGUC